rnacentral:rRNA from 1 species
UACUAACGCUGGCGGCGUGCUUAACACAUGCAAGUCGAACGGUGAAGCUCCAGCUUGCUGGAGUGGAUCAGUGGCGAACGGGUGAGUAACACGUGAGCAACCUGCCCCUGACUCUGGAAUAAGCGCUGGAAACGGCGUCUAAUACUGGAUACGAGAAGGGUCCGCAUGGGCACUUUCUGGAAAGUUUUUCGGUUGGGGAUGGGCUCGCGGCCUAUCAGCUUGUUGGUGAGGUAAUGGCUCACCAAGGCGACGACGGGUAGCCGGCCUGAGAGGGCGACCGGCCACACUGGGACUGAGACACGGCCCAGACUCCUACGGGAGGCAGCAGUGGGGAAUAUUGCACAAUGGGCGAAAGCCUGAUGCAGCGACGCCGCGUGAGGGAUGACGGCCUUCGGGUUGUAAACCUCUUUCAGCAGGGAAGAAGCGAAAGUGACGGUACCUGCAGAAGAAGCACCGGCUAACUACGUG